AGCCUGAACGCUGGCGGCGUGGUUAAGACAUGCAAGUCGUACGGUGUAGCAAUACACAGUGGCGAACGGGUGAGUAAUGAAUCGCUAAUGUACCCCGGACUUUGGGAUAGCUGAUCGAAAAGGUCAGGUAAUACCAGAUGAUAUAACUUUGUCGCAUGACAGAGUUCUCAAAGGUCCGCCGGUCUGGGAGCAGGCGAUUUCGUAUCAGCUAGUUGGUAGGGUAACGGCCUACCAAGGCGACGACGCGUAGCCGGACUGAGAGGUUGGCCGGCCACAUUGGGACUGAGACACUGCCCAGACUCCUACGGGGGGCUGCAGUAACGAAUCUUCCGCAAUGCACGAAAGUGUGACGGAGCGACGCCGCGUGUGGGACGAAGCCCUUCGGGGUGUAAACCACUGUCAAGGGAAAGAAAGUUCUGAUCUACCCUAGAGGAAGAGGCGGCUAACUCUGUGCCAGCAGCCGC
rnacentral:rRNA from 1 species